GAUGAACGCUGGCGGCGUGCCUAAUACAUGCAAGUCGAGCGAACGGACGAGAAGCUUGCUUCUCUGCUGUUAGCGGCGGACGGGUGAGUAACACGUGGAUAACCUACCUAUAAGACUGGGAUAACUUCGGGAAACCGGAGCUAAUACCGGAUAAUAUUUUGAACCGCAUGGUUCAAAAGUGAAAGACGGUCUUGCUGUCACUUAUAGAUGGAUCCGCGCUGCAUUAGCUAGUUGGUAAGGUAACGGCUUACCAAGGCAACGAUGCGUAGCCGACCUGAGAGGGUGAUCGGCCACACUGGAACUGAGACACGGUCCAGACUCCUACGGGAGGCAGCAGUAGGGAAUCUUCCGCAAUGGGCGAAAGCCUGACGGAGCAACGCCGCGUGAGUGAUGAAGGUCUUCGGAUCGUAAAACUCUGUUAUUAGGGAAGAACAUAUGUGUAAGUAACUGUGCACAUCUUGACGGUACCUAAUCAGAAAGCCACGGCUAACUACGUG
rnacentral:rRNA from 1 species